GCAGAGGCCCUAGCUCAGUGUUAGGGCAUUUGCUUGGCAUGUAGAAGGUCCCAGGUUCAAACCCUGGCGUCUGCA